UUAGAGUUUGAUAGUGGCUCAGAUUGAACGCUGGCGGCAGGCCUAACACAUGCAAGUCGAACGGUAACAGGAAGCAGCUUGCUGCUUCGCUGACGAGUGGCGGACGGGUGAGUAAUGUCUGGGAAACUGCCUGAUGGAGGGGGAUAACUACUGGAAACGGUAGCUAAUACCGCAUAACGUCGCAAGACCAAAGAGGGGGACCUUCGGGCCUCUUGCCAUCGGAUGUGCCCAGAUGGGAUUAGCUAGUAGGUGGGGUAACGGCUCACCUAGGCGACGAUCCCUAGCUGGUCUGAGAGGAUGACCAGCCACACUGGAACUGAGACACGGUCCAGACUCCUACGGGAGGCAGCAGUGGGGAAUAUUGCACAAUGGGCGCAAGCCUGAUGCAGCCAUGCCGCGUGUAUGAAGAAGGCCUUCGGGUUGUAAAGUACUUUCAGCGGGGAGGAAGGGAGUAAAGUUAAUACCUUUGCUCAUUGACGUUACCCGCAGAAGAAGCACCGGCUAACUCCGUGCCAGCAGCCGCGGUAAUACGGAGGGUGCAAGCGUUAAUCGGAAUUACUGGGCGUAAAGCGCACGCAGGCGGUUUGUUAAGUCAGAUGUGAAAUCCCCGGGCUCAACCUGGGAACUGCAUCUGAUACUGGCAAGCUUGAGUCUCGUAGAGGGGGGGUAGAAUUCUAGGUGUAGCGGUGAAAUGCGUAGAGAUCUGGAGGAAUACCGGUGGCGAAGGCGGCCCCCUGGACGAAGACUGACGCUCAGGUGCGAAAGCGUGGGGGAGCAAACAGGAUUAGAUACCCUGGUAGUCCACGCCGUAAACGAUGUCGACUUGGAGGUUGUGCCCUUGAGGCGUGGCUUCCGGAGCUAACGCGUUAAGUCGACCGCCUGGGGGAGUACGGCCGCAAGGUUAAAACUCAAAUGAAUUGACGGGGGCCCGCACAAGCGGUGGAGCAUGUGGUUUAAUUCGAUGCAACGCGAAGAACCUUACCUGGUCUUGACAUCCACAGAACUUUCCAGAGAUGGAUUGGUGCCUUCGGGAACUGUGAGACAGGUGCUGCAUGGCUGUCGUCAGCUCGUGUUGUGAAAUGUUGGGUUAAGUCCCGCAACGAGCGCAACCCUUAUCCUUUGUUGCCAGCGGUCCGGCCGGGAACUCAAAGGAGACUGCCAGUGAUAAACUGGAGGAAGGUGGGGAUGACGUCAAGUCAUCAUGGCCCUUACGACCAGGGCUACACACGUGCUACAAUGGCGCAUACAAAGAGAAGCGACCUCGCGAGAGCAAGCGGACCUCAUAAAGUGCGUCGUAGUCCGGAUUGGAGUCUGCAACUCGACUCCAUGAAGUCGGAAUCGCUAGUAAUCGUGGAUCAGAAUGCCACGGUGAAUACGUUCCCGGGCCUUGUACACACCGCCCGUCACACCAUGGGAGUGGGUUGCAAAAGAAGUAGGUAGCUUAACCUUCGGGAGGGCGCUUACCACUUUGUGAUUCAUGACUGGGGUGAAGUCGUAACAAGGUAACCGUAGGGGAACCUGCGGUUGGAUCACCUCCUUU
rnacentral:rRNA from 1 species